AGCAAUGUGACUUCCUGUGCUCUCUGCGGCAGCACGUAUGAUGCAGAGAAGAUGAGCAUGGCCCCUGCGCAAGGACGGUAUGCAGAUUCUGAAGCGCUCCAUGCUGUU
rnacentral:snRNA from 1 species